rnacentral:rRNA from 1 species
GACGAACCGUGCGAACGUUGUUCGGAAUCACUGGGCUUAAAGGGCGCGUAGGCGGGUGUGCAAGUCUGUGGUGAAAGCCUCCAGCUUAACUGGAGAAGUGCCGUGGAUACUGCACAUCUUGAGGAGGGUAGGGGCAUCUGGAACGGUCGGUGGAGCGGUGAAAUGCGUUGAUAUCGACCGGAACUCCGGUGGCGAAGGCGAGGUGCUGGACCCUUUCUGACGCUGAGGCGCGAAAGCGUGGGGAGCAAACAGG